rnacentral:rRNA from 1 species
UACGUAGGGGGCAAGCGUUGUCCGGAAUCAUUGGGCGUAAAGCGCGUGUAGGCGGCUUGGUAAGUCUGCUCUGAAGGCCCGGGGCUCAACCCCGGGAGGCGGGUGGAUACUGUCAAGCUCGAGUCCGGAAGAGGAGUGUGGAAUUCCUAGUGUAGAGGUGAAAUUCGUAGAUAUUAGGAAGAACACCAGUGGGCGAAGGCGGCUCACUGGUCCGGUACUGACGCUGAGGUGCGAAAGCGUGGGGAGCAAACAGG